GAUGAGGUGGCCGAGUGGUUAAGGCGAUGGACUGGUAAUCAAUUGUGCGAUGCACGCAAGGGUUCGAAUCCCAUUCUAAUCU